rnacentral:rRNA from 1 species
CCUACGGGUGGCAGCAGUGGGGAAUAUUGCACAAUGGGGGGAACCCUGAUGCAGCGACGCCGCGUGAGUGAAGAAGUAUUUCGGUAUGUAAAGCUCUAUCAGCAGGGAAGAAAAUGACGGUACCUGACUAAGAAGCCCCGGCUAACUACGUGCCAGCAGCCGCGGUAAUACGUAGGGGGCAAGCGUUAUCCGGAUUUACUGGGUGUAAAGGGAGCGUAGGCGGCAGGGAAAGUAUGGAGUGAAAGCCCGGGGCUCAACCCCGGGACUGCUGUGGAAACUGCCAGGCUGGAGUGCUGGAGAGGUAAGCGGAAUUCUUAGUGUAGCGGUGAAAUGCGUAGAUAUUAGGAGGAACACCAGUGGCGAAGGCGGCUUACUGGACAGUAACUGACGUUGAGGCUCGAAAGCGUGGGGAGCAAACAGGAUUAGAUACCCGUGUAGUC